UUAUUAAUUAAAUGAAAAAUGGAGAGUACAAGCUUAAUUGAAAGUGUAAUUUCAUUCAAGAUAUCAUUGGAUGCUAAACAAUUUUUUUCUUAUUUUUACUAUAGCCAUCUUUUUGGUAAUGGGAUGUUUUUUUGAUUUCAACAUCUCAUUCCCUUAUCUCCUUAGCAUUGAAGGCAAGGAUUCAUCAUGGGCCCCUAAUGCUGGCGGACUACCAAAAUGGAUCUAUUUUGAUUUGUACUUGGGCCUUGAAUGUUGCAAAAUGCGUGGAAGAAAUGGCAAAACUGUCAGAAGUGGGAUUUGAACCCACGCCCUCUCUCGAAGACCAGAACUUGAGUCUGGCGCCUUAGACCACUCGGCCAUCCUGACCUGAUGUUGGGUAUGGAGAAGCUUUUAUAUGCAAACGUGACAUUUCUUUCGGUUGAGAGCCUGUCUGGUAUGCACUGAGAUGAAAAA